AUAUACUUUUUAACUAUUUUAUUUCAUAGCUUUAGAAAAUUUAUAUUUGAAAUUUGAUUGGCAAUGAUUAAAAUUGAGACAAAUAUUUUUCUAGUAUGGAAUAACCACUAAUACAAUAAAACUUUAUCAAGACAAUUUAAACCUUAAACUUACACAAAAAAAUUUGCGCUCACUUUUUCUUUUAUGUAUGUACUAAGAGAUAAACACACGAUUGUAACAAGAUGAGGAUUUUUAUUGUAAUUUAUAUGAAGUCAUAAAGCAAGUAUCCAAAAGGGAUGGAUGACGUAAGACAUCGUUGAAGCACGUGUAUAUUGCAAGUAGUAAAACUUUUUAAACUAUUUUAUUUCAUGACUUUAGGAAAUUGGUAGCAAAAUUAAUACGCCAGAAAUGUCUUAAAUUUUGUGUCGCCAAUCGAGUUAGUAUUGAACAGGUGAACAAAGGCAUUUAGACAUUUAUAUAAAAGCAUGUAAAAGUGUCUUCUCAGAUAAAAAUUCAAAUUUUUAGCAAUUCAGUACUUCUAGUUAUAUCCUUGUUUUUCGUUAUUUUUUACAAUCAUUCGUUAUGAAACCACGCUAUUUUUUGAUGAAACACGAAUUUGCAAAUAUUUGACGUAGCGGUCAUCCCACUCGUGUAUCAAUCUCAGUGCAUUAUGGGAGUUCUCGUAGAUAUUGUUUAUUAGAUUUUAGAGCAGUUGGCACUGUAUGACGGGAUGGUACAGGGCUCUCUUGUCAAGCAAGCUUCUCGGAUGUGAAUUCUAGAGAUUCGUGCAUGUUAGUUAUGGGUCAAUUUUCUGUUCCUUUAAUUGGAUACAAAAUCCAAUUCCAUACUAACACGAAUGUUUGAACAGAAUUAACUCUGAACUAUUCUGAGUUUAUGAUUGCUAUUCCGCUUACGUAAAUAGAAGAGUUGUGCCAUUUCAGCGUUCUUUUGCAUUCUAUACAUACGAUACUGGAAUCGAAUGAAAUAUUCCUUUACUUUCAUUUAAACAAGG